UACGCAGGUGGCGAGCGUUGUCCGGAUUUAUUGGGCGUAAAGCGCCCGCAGGCGGCCUGAUAAGUUUCAGGUGAAAUCUCCCGGCUCAACUGGGAGGGGUCCUGGAAAACUGUCAGGCUUGAGGCAGGGAGAGGGAUGUGGAAUUCCCGGUGUAGUGGUGAAAUGCGUAGAUAUCGGGAGGAACACCAGUGGCGAAGGCGACAUCCUGGCCCUGUCCUGACGCUCAGGGGCGAAAGCGUGGGGAGCAAACCGG
rnacentral:rRNA from 1 species